rnacentral:rRNA from 1 species
UGGCUCAGAAUGAACGUUGGCGGCGUGGAUUAGGCAUGCAAGUCGAGCGAGAACCCGCAAGGGGGACAGCGGCAAACGGGGUAGUAACGGGUAGGCGACGUACCCUUCGGUCGGGGAUAGCCACGGGAAACUGUGGGUAAUACCCGAUAACCUCUUCAGACGUGAUAGUUUGGAGAGCAAAGGUGUGAUUCCACCGGAGGAGCGGCCUGCUUCGUAUUAGCUAGUUGGUGAGGUAACGGCUCACCAAGGCGACGAUGCGUAGGGGGUGUGAGAGCAUGACCCCCACCACUGGGACUGAGAUACUGCCCAGACACCUACGGGUGGCUGCAGUCGAGAAUCUUCGGCAAUGGGCGCAAGCCUGACCGAGCGACGCCGCGUGUGGGAUGAAGGCCCUUGGGUUGUAAACCACUGUCAGAGGGGAUGAAGUGCAGGAGGGCAAUCUCUCCUGUUUGACAUAGCCUCAGAGGAAGCACGGGCUAAGUUCGUGCCAGCAGCCGCGGUAAUACGAACUGUGCGAACGUUAUUCGGAAUCACUGGGCUUACAGGGUGCGUAGGCGGCUUGUUAAGUAGGGUGUGAAAGCCCCCGGCUCAACCGGGGAAUUGCGCCCUAAACUGGCGAGCUGGAGUGAGAUAGGGGUGUGUGGAACUUCCGGUGGAGCGGUGAAAUGUGUUGAUAUCGGAAGGAACGCCGGUGGCGAAAGCGACACACUGGAUCUUGUCUGACGCUGAGGCACGAAAGCCAGGGGAGCGAACGGGAUUAGAUACCCCGGUAGUCCUGGCUGUAAACGAUGAGCACUAGCUAGGAGGGGCGUAGGCCCUUCCUAACGGAGCGAAAGUGUUAAGUGCUCCGCCUGGGGAGUAUGGUCGCAAGGC